rnacentral:rRNA from 1 species
GACGUAGGGCGCGAGCGUUGUCCGGAAUUAUUGGGCGUAAAGAGCUCGUAGGCGAUUUGUCGCGUCGACUGUGAAAACCUACAGCUUAACUGUGGGCUUGCAGUCGAUACGGGCAGACUUGAGUUCGGUAGGGGAGACUGGAAUUCCUGGUGUAGCGGUGAAAUGCGCAGAGUAUCAGGAGGAACACCGGUGGCGAAGGCGGGUCUCUGGGCCGAUAUUGACGCUGAGGAGCGAAAGCGUGGGAGCGAACAGG